CGGGGCACAAUACGUGUGGUUGUGCAGGAUGUGGCUGUUCCUGCAGGACCACGUGCUCCCUGCCCCACUGCCUCCAGAGCUUCCCUGACUUCUGGGGGGCUCCUGAAUCCCGUUUUGCCUCCAACAAGGAAGUUAUCCUGGUCUUUCAAAGAUGCUCGUCCCCUGCAACAUGAAUUUUGAGGGCUGAGAGCUGGACACUUUUAAGAAACCAGCAGCUGUGGGUUUAGGGUGCAGCAGAGCCUGCAGUGCAGCGUGAAGUGAUGCAGAAGUGUGGAUGGCACCGGGAGCUGCUGCGCCUGCUCCUGCUGCUAUUCCUGGCACGCAGGGACUGAGCAGCGUCUGAUGGGCCAAAUGGAAAGAACUGAAAAUAGUCCACAGUGAAUUCCUGGAGGAGAUGGGAAAAGAUCUGUGGACUGCAGGCCCCCAAUCUGUGAUUUACAUCUCUCCUUUACAGCUCAGAGUCCCAAAAUGUCCCCAACCUUUCUGCGUGUCUCUGAAGUUGAAUUUGGGUUCAGCAGUUUGGGCUCUAAUUGAACAGCCUCAACAGGGCAUCAGAUGGGGAUGACAAAAGCACUCUGGACACAGCAGCUUUUUUCCAAGGCCCUCAAUCCCUCCCAGGACACGGUGAGCAUUGUUGUGAUGGUUCUGUAUUAUGGGCAAGCAAGGUAAGAAGUGAUUUUAUCACUGACUUGAUGUGGAAUUGCCCAGUGGUCUACAAAACAGUCAAGUUCAAAUUAGAAGCUUUUGGUUGUCACUUUACAGAGUGAUGUUCUGGAAAUAUCCAAGUCAUGAUGCCUUUGCCCAGUUUUGCUUUCCAUGCCUGUGCCCCACACUGUGAAUUUGUGCCAUUCCUCACAUCAUUAGAGUCCUCUGUUUGUAUUAGUAAAUGCUUUUUACUCCUCUGAAGACAUUUUAUGAAUUUGUAAACUAUUCCCAUGCAUUCUGUCCCUAUAACUGAGCUAUAAGUGUUAUUUUGGAGAUAUUUCCUAAGUAAUCUCUGUGUAGUUUGCCUAGAGUGAAGUUAUUGACUUGUCUCAGAAAGGCCUUAAGGUUUUAUAGUUAAUGCUUAAGUGCCUAAAGCUUCCUCCCUGGCUGAACAUUCCUUCUCCUAUGAAUUGCUAAUUCCAAUUGAUCUGAGAAAAAAAAGAAAGAAAUAGUUUGUAUUUUCUCUACUUUUUGCUCUGACUGUGCACCUACCAAGGUCUCUUCUUGCUUUGAUCCCAUCUCUGUGAUUAAAUUCAUUCUUCCUUUCUGUUUUCCAGCUUCUCUCUGCAAACUUCCUCUCACUCCAUUUCUGCAAGAACUUUUGCUGCAAACCAGGUCCCUGAGAGGAUCACUGAGGGGGAGGCCAAUUUAUUUCUAUUUAUUUAUAAAUGAGCUGCAGAGACUUGGCCCCUUUUUAAACAUAAGAACAAUUUUCGGGCCUCUUUCAGUUGUGGUUAUUUCACUCAAAAGAAAAAAAAAACAAAACCAACCCCAAGCACAGAACAAUAGAGAAAUAUGAGGAGUUGUGGAAACCCCUCAAACUUUCUCUGUUUAGAUUUUACAUUCCUGGUGGUCACAGGGCCAGGUGAUGCUGCCAGUUGUGUUUUCUUCUGGAGUGCCUGGCUUGGAUGAUCCCAAAGCACCAAGCUGAGUUCAUUGCUGUGAUCAAACCAGAAUGACACCUCUGGGGUUUUUUUGGGGUUUUUUUUUUUUGCCCUUAAGGUUUUGGAAUUUGAGCCUUUGAAAAACAGGGUUACUGGACUCUAGUAAAUGAAGUGUCUGGAUGUCAGUGAUGAUUCAUAAAAGCAAUUACAAAAAAGGAAAGUGCUUUUCCUCUGAGCGUAAUGUCUUGGUUUGAAGAUGCCCUAAAAGUGAGUGUUGUGCUGCUCUGUUUCCAGCACAACACUUCUUAUCCUGUGGUUCUGCUGAUCUAAACCAAAUUUUUUUCACCCAGUCACAGAACAGUUGGGGUUGGAAGGGACCUCUGGGGUCACUCAGUCCAACCCCCCUGCCCAGGCAGGGUCACCUGGAGCAGGUGACCCAGGAACGUGUCCAGGUGGGGUCGGGAUGUCUCCAGAGAGGGAGACUCCACACCCUCCCUGGGCAGCUGUUCCAGUGCUCUGCCACCCUAAAUUCUUCCCCAUGUUGGGCUGGAACUUGUUGUGUUUUCCUUUAUGGCCGUUGCUCCUCG